rnacentral:tRNA from 1 species
UGUAGGUAGCUCAGUGGUAGAGCACAUGCUUUAGCAUGUGUGAGGCCCUGGGUUCCACUCCCAGCACUGAAA